ACCAUGGGAAUCAAGCUCCGUGCUUUGAAUUAUGAGCUCAUCACAGACCAUGGAGACCGAGUCCUGAUGCCAGAGCCAGCAUCAGAACCUUCCCUUCAUCGUGAAGCUGAAGCAGUUUGGUAGAAAUUCCUCUCUGCCUGGAAUUCGUUCCUCCCUGUGUCCGGGAACAUGUGUGACUUGGCUGAAGCUCUAGGCUUUAUUUUGGGACCGUUGAAGACACACCAGGCAGAGGUGACGGGAGGCAGAGGGGAAAUGGAAGGAAGAAAGGUGUGCCAUGUGCAGGAGCCUAAUAACCUUGAUGAAUGGAGGCAGUAUAACCCGUAAGACAAAUAGCACCAGCAGAUCAGCAGGGUGAAGCAUAGAAAAGAUUCCUUGCUGAAAAGGUGGAGCCAUGAAGUCAAAGCAGCCUGCAUUCCCAAGUCCCUGAUGUUGAGCUAAUGAUCUUUAGCCAGAUUCAUACCGGAUUGCACACAUUCAAGAAAUAAACCUUGUGUUGGGCCAGAGGUAGUAGGUGUUUUUCACUUCCACCAACUCUAACCUGUUUGACUUGGGAAAGUGUAUCCAUGACCUGUAACUGGCCUUGAAAUUUGAGAACCCCAAGAAUAGCUUGCUAAAUAUUGUGAGCACGUAAUGAUGAGAACUUUCUGAUGCACUGCCUUGCAGGAUAAACCUAAACACUGUCUUCUUACAGCUAGUGUUUAUUCAACUGUACUCCCUUGUGAUGUCCCCUCUUGUUUGUCCUGACUCUCGUUUCCAUGUAGAGAAAUAAAUCUGGGCUUCAAAUUCAGAUGAUCUGAGUUCGAGGUGU